GACGAACGCUGGCGGCGUGCUUAACACAUGCAAGUCGAACGGAAAGGCCCUGCUUUUGUGGGGUGCUCGAGUGGCGAACGGGUGAGUAACACGUGAGUAACCUGCCCUUGACUUUGGGAUAACUUCAGGAAACUGGGCUAAUACCGGGUAGGAGCUCCUGCUGCAUGGUGGGGGUUGGAAAGUUUCGGCGGUUGGGGAUGGACUCGCGGCUUAUCAGCUUGUUGGUGGGGUAGUGGCUUACCAAGGCUUUGACGGGUAGCCGGCAUGAGAGGGUGACCGGCCACAUUGGGACUGAGAUACGGCCCAGACUCCUACGGGAGGCAGCAGUGGGGAAUAUUGCACAAUGGGCGGAAGCCUGAUGCAGCAACGCCGCGUGCGGGAUGACGGCCUUCGGGUUGUAAACCGCUUUCGCCUGUGACGAAGCGUGAGUGACGGUAAUGGGUAAAGAAGCACCGGCUAACUACGUG
rnacentral:rRNA from 1 species